AAGAUGUUAGUAAAAUAUUACAAGACCUUGUCAUGGACUAAUUGCUGGUUAACCCAACACAUCUUAU
rnacentral:tRNA from 1 species